rnacentral:rRNA from 1 species
CAUGUAGGCUGCUCAGCAAGUCGGGUGUGAAAGCCCUGGGCUCAACCUAGGAAGUGCACUCGAAACUGCUGAGCUGGAGUCCUGGAGAGGAAGGCGGAAUUCUCGGUGUAGAGGUGAAAUUCGUAGAUAUCGAGAGGAACACCGGUGGCGAAGGCGGCCUUCUGGACAGUGACUGACGCUGAGAUGCGAAAGCGUGGGGAGCAAACAGGAUUAGAUACCCUGGUAGUCCACGCCGUAAACGAUGGGUGCUAGGUGUCGCGGGCUUUGACCCCUGCGGUGCCGUAGCUAACGCAUUAAGCACCCCGCCUGGGGAGUACGGCCGCAAGGCUAAA